UACAGAGGGUGCGAACGUUGCUCGGAAUUACUGGGCGUAAAGCGCGUGUAGGCGGGGCCGAAAGUCAGAUGUGAAAUCCCCGGGCUCAACCCGGGAACUGCAUCUGAAACUUCGGUCCUUGAGUACUGGAGAGGGUGGCGGAAUUCCUGGUGUAGAGGUGAAAUUCGUAGAUAUCAGGAGGAACACCGGUGGCGAAGGCGGCCACCUGGACAGUAACUGACGCUGAGACGCGAAAGCGUGGGGAGCAAACAGG
rnacentral:rRNA from 1 species